CGCCCCGACUCGGGUCCCGUGGGGGGAAUCCGUUUCGGGGAAAAGGGAAGCGCCCCGACCGUCGAC
rfam:Streptomyces sp. MBRL 10 scaffold00050, whole genome shotgun sequence.